AUGUUUUUUAGCAGGUUUGAAGGCUUGGAUACAGGCAGGCUUGGAUACAGGAAGGCUUGGAUACAGGCAGGCUGCAAGGCUUGUGUUGGUUUGCGGGCUGUUGUUAUGCAGGCUUGCUUGUGUUUGAACACAGGUUUAUUGGUUUCUGGUCUUAUGCAGGCAGGCUUGCUGUUAUGCUUGAAAGCUUGUAUUCUCAAGCAGUUUUGCAGGUAA